UACGUAGGGUGCGAGCGUUAAUCGGAAUUACUGGGCGUAAAGCGUGCGCAGGCGGUUUUGUAAGCCAGAUGUGAAAUCCCCGGGCUUAACCUGGGAAUGGCAUUUGGGACUGCAAGGCUUGAGUGUGGCAGAGGAGACUGGAAUUCCUGGUGUAGCAGUGAAAUGCGUAGAUAUCAGGAGGAACACCGAUGGCGAAGGCAGGUCUCUGGGCUAACACUGACGCUCAUGCACGAAAGCGUGGAGAGCAAACAGGA
rnacentral:rRNA from 1 species